rnacentral:rRNA from 1 species
UACGUAGGGGGCAAGCGUUGUCCGGAAUCAUUGGGCGUAAAGAGCGUGUAGGCGGCCAGAUAAGUCCGCUGUGAAAUCUCGAGGCUCAACUUCGAGCUGUCGGUGGAAACUGUCUGGCUAGAGUCCGGAAGAGGAGAAUGGAAUUCCUGGUGUAGCGGUGAAAUGCGCAGAUAUCAGGAAGAACACCCGUGGCGAAGGCGGGUCUCUGGGCCGAUACUGACGCUGAGGAGCGAAAGCGUGGGGAGCGAACAGG